UCUUGGCCUCACGUGCAACGCACGUGAGGCAGCGGGAUGGAACCUCCAUCCCGAAGAAGAAGGAGGAGCCCUGUUUUAGGGCUUCCUUCUCCUUCCUCUCCUCCUUUGAGCCCACCGAAGGAGAGCCGACGCACGCAAAGGGGGGGAAGGGUCUUCUUCGUGUGGCCACCGAGAGAGAGGGAGAGAGAGAGAGAGAGAGGGAGAGAGGGAGAGAGAGAGGAGCCACGGCACCGGGUGGCGGGUGGUCUCCUUCUUCUUUUCCGUCGGAGAGGGGGAGGCGCCGGUCUUCGUCGGGGCUGAGGUUCUGCGAGGGAUUUGCGGAAUUAAUUGGAUUUGUUGUGGAUCGCGUUCGCAAGAUUUCGAGAACUAGUCUAUUGGGGAUUCAAAUUGGGAGAGCGCCUAGCAGGAUUGUGGCACAAGUUAUCUUAGAUUAGGGUUAUUUAAGUUGAUUUGUUACUAUGGACAUUUAUUAUGAUUGGUG